GAAAGAAAGGAGAAGAAAAAAAGAAGAAAAAAAAAGCAAACAACCCAAAGCACACAGCUCUGUGAGACUCUGACAAUCCCUGACUACUACCAACUAAAAUGGACAUUCAGAGCCCGUAAGGUUCCCAGAUUUUCAUCUGGUAGAUCCAGGGCAGAAGCAUGGAUGCUAGCGGCACACAGUGCUGCUGCGGUGGCUCAGACACAUCCAGAUGUCAUGGAACAGCAGCACUUGCUUGAGCUGGCAAGCAUGGGCUCAGUGGUGGUACCCUACUCUAGUGGUGAGCAACCCUGUAGAGAUUUGUCAUGUGGCAUGAGUGACAGGAAAGGAAGGGAACAGAUCCCUAACAAGGCUUUGUGACAAGCGUAAAGAAACAAUCACAUUCUUGUUAUUCUUCCUGGUAAUAAGGACAAUGUUUCUGGGAAUAUAUGGCACACCUAAUGGUACCUCGUAACAUGGCUGAUAAUGACACAAAGAGUGAGUGUAGUCAGUGAAACUGCAGCAUAUAAUAACGGCAAUUAACAGAUCUUCAAAGUAUUUUAAAACAACAAAAUCUAUUUUCAAUUCACUGGUGCUAGAAUGAGAUCAAGACCAAAGUCACUAAAUGGCAACUAAGAUUUUUCAGCGCAUGGUAUAAAAAUUUUGAUACAUGAACAACAUGCUUUUAAGUCAUGCUUUCUUCUUAUGCACAUGUGUAAGGGAAGCAAAGGAGGAUGUGGGAAAGCCUUUAAUCAGCUGAUUCUAAUUGUAUCUUCAGCACUCAUCCAAAGUCCCUAAAUAACUCUAGUUAAGGAUCUCUCUCACUUUCUCAUAAUCUAGGACUACACUUUCCUUGAUGCAGAUUUCUGCCUUCCUCCCUUCGAUCUUAAAUUAUAACUCAGUCUGACAGAAUUAGAUCUAUGCAGACAGACACGGUGGAAUGAGUGCAUAUGCACUGAGCAUGGAUGUUGCUUCAGAAGCAGCUGUCAAAGUAAUUAGCAUGUAGUAAAACAGAGCAAACCCACUUUACUUACACACUUUCUGCUCUCCUAUUUCAUUAUCUUUUAGGAGGCAAAAGGGUGUGGCUGGAUGUCAAAAAUGUGUGAGUGCAUCCUGCGGGCUCUGGGGAGGGCAAGGAACAGUCAUGCUGUGGGGCUGACUCCAAACUGUUUCCAGAAAUGCCAGUGAGUCACUUCUCCAGGUCUUCAACAGCAAUGCUGCAAGCCCUGCUAGCGCUUCAAGCCAAGAUACAUUUGGUGAUCACCAGUCCUCAGCCAUUGUACAGCAACAAGUGUUCCUGACUGGAGGAUUCACUGAAUUCUUUUGCCGUGCCAUUUAACUGUUAUUUUACUCUUCUCCCUCCUUGAAAUUCAGUUGUCAUUAAAUGUGUCCCUGGGGUAGUUGACACCAGCAUCCUUCAUCCUCAAGUUAAAGACUUACUUGAUUUCAAAGGGUGUUUUUACCUAACUAAAGACCGUUUCCCACACUUAGGCUAUACAAGCUUAUACAAGACAUUCUUUUUUUUUUUUUUUUUUUAAUUUUAAGUUUUCUCUGUAAGUCAUCAAACCUGCGUCUUGUUUUAUGUCCUGGGCUUACUGAGUAUUCUUCUGUAACUGUAUUUUUAUCACAAGGCAAUAUUUAAGUUGCUGAAUGAAAAGCUUUUAUAGAUAGAAAUAUGUAAAUUUGGACUCUUGCUUCACUGAUAUUUGAAUCAAAGCCUUUGUUUUUUAUUCUUGAUUUUAGUCGGAUGAAGUUGUGGACUCCAGAUAUUCAAAUAGCUUAAUAGUAUUGCAGAGAUAGCAGCACAUAUUUUUCUGCACAGGGAGCAUUAAAACUGUUUUUUUUUUUCUUGAAUUUCUAUUGCAAUCAGGCAGCGUGGGGUACCAUUAUAGUAAAAUAUCUAAAUAAUAGGUAAGCAGAUUCAGUGAGGUGCAAGACCGAAAAAGGUUUUCUUCCAGCUUAAUAAAUAUCUGGAGGCCCAGAUCACCUCAGAGCUGCAGAGAAUGCAAAGCUUUGAAUGCUCAGGACAGCUGUUCUCCCUCCCUCGGUGGCCUGUUUGGUUAUGAUUGUACCUGAUCCAAACGACUGGCAGUAUUCCCCAAGUGACACAAAUACUACAGAGCAGAACAGGAGAGGAAAAAUUUUUGAGCUGACUGCAGUCGUCAAGAUGUCUGGGCAUUUACACCAGGACAACAACAGCAGCAACAUCGUAACAUGAUCGAAGCCAUUGGGAUUGCUUAGGGUACCUCAAGGAGUGACCUAUCCUUGCCCUCUCCCUGGCAAAGGGACCCAAAUCAGCAGUUCAGAGUUUCCACUGCAUGAAAAGUCUUGAAUGGAAAGAUAAAUUUUCAUCAUGAAAAUGUUUUGCAUUGGGAUGUUUAUAUUUGUAAUUUUCCAAGUUAAGGGGAAAAGAAAGUGAUUGCCUACAAAGCAUUAGAAGUAGACAAUGAAGUAAUAAGAAAGUUCACGUUAUGUGUUGAUCUUUGGAUAAUCAGAGAAGAAAGAAGACUUUAGAAAGAGGAGUAAUGUCAAAAAGAAUAUUUUAGGGUUAUUUUUAUAAGCGUUCCAGGUAAUAUUAACUGUGCAAGACUGCAUUCCAUUACUCCACUGUGUUACAAAAGCCUCAGCCUGAACUUUAGCUGUGUGUACAAAAAGACAGUGUAAGUACAGAUGUGUAAAGAGUGUAACAAUGUUUGUGACAGCUGGUGGAAGGUCAUGUUUGCACAGGAAUCAUGAAAGGAGCCAGCAAACAGAACUAUCUGGAAGGGAAAGUAAGAGCUUUCCUCUGGACUCAAUGAGUUUAAGUGGAAACAACAAAUGAGGCCUGCUUUUCUGUGGAUCUCUGAUCUAUCAUGUGUUUUAAGGUCAUGCAAGAUAUAUCUUUUAUAGAAAUAAUGCCUCUGUUCCCAGUUUUCAGUAAGUAUGGCACUGAAAAGAGAGCACAUCACUACCCAUGCAUCUCCCUACUGGCAGAAAGGACACGUGUGCAGUGUCACAUCCUUUCCAAUGGGAGCAUUGGAUUUCUGCCUCACUGUUUGUCUUGAUCUUUAUCACUUUUUGCUAUUCCUCUCCUCUUCCCACCCUCCCACUAACAAUCUUCAGGAAGCAAGAGAAAAGGAAGUGUCCUUUUAUUAGUGCUAUCCGCAGAGAUGAGAGGAGGACCAGGAAAACAAUGCCAUAAUCUCUCACCACUUACCAAGACAUAGAAUUAUCAGGGUUA
rnacentral:lncRNA from 1 species